UUGCCCUAGUAACGGCGAGUGAAGCGGCAACAGCUCAAAUUUGAAAUCUGGCUCUUUCAGAGUCCGAGUUGUAAUUUGCAGAGGGCGCUUUGGCAUUGGCAGCGGUCCAAGUUCUUUGGAACAGGACGUCACAGAGGGUGAGAAUCCCGUACGUGGUCGCUAGCCUUUGCCGUGUAAAGCCCCUUCGACGAGUCGAGUUGUUUGGGAAUGCAGCUCUAAAUGGGAGGUAAAUUUCUUCUAAAGCUAAAUACUGGCCAGAGACCGAUAGCGCACAAGUAGAGUGAUCGAAAGAUGAAAAGCACUUUGGAAAGAGAGUCAAAUAGCACGUGAAAUUGUUGAAAGGGAAGCGCUUGCAGCCAGACUUGCCUGUAGUUGCUUAUCUGGACUUUUGUCCAGUGCACUCUUCUGCGGGCAGGCCAGCAUCAGUUUGGGCGGUUGGAUAAAGGUCUCUGUCAUGUACCUCUCUUCGGGGAGGCCUUAUAGGGGAGACGACAUGCAACCAGCCUGGACUGAGGUCCGCGCAUUUGCUAGGAUGCUGGCGUAAUGGCUGUAAGCGGCCCGUCUUGAAACACGGACCAAGGAGUCUAACAUCUAUGCGAGUGUUUGGGUGUCAAGCCCAGACGCGUAAUGAAAGUGAACGGAGGUGGGAACCCUUUGGGUGCACCAUCGACCGAUCCUGAUGUCUUCGGAAGGAUUUGAGUAAGAGCAUGGCUGUUGGGACCCGAAAGAUGGUGAACUAUGCUUGAAUAGGGUGAAGCCAGAGGAAACUCUGGUGGAGGCUCGCAGCGGUUCUGACGUGCAAAUCGAUCGUCAAAUU
rnacentral:rRNA from 1 species